rnacentral:lncRNA from 1 species
UGCCAACGGGGACAGCAGAGGAUGAGAUGAGAUCUCUUUGACCCUUCGAAAAGCCUUUGGAAAAUCUGCCAGUCGCGUUCUCUUGAAGGCAGCCCUCUCUCUCUCUCUCUCUCCGGAGAGAGAGAGAGAAUUAAGAGUUGGUGGGGCUAAGAAGAGUGCAAAAAGAAAAGAGAAGAGCCUUUUGUUCCCUUUAGAGAUGAGCACUAAAUGUUGAGCCGGUGAGCGAUCAAAGGCCUCUGGGGUAGCUUUCUGGCGGUCCAUUUACUCCUCUCCUUCUUUCCUGUUCCUUUAGAGAUGAUGGAAGAGUCCUUGCCAUCCCUUCUCCCUCUCCUUUGCGGUACUCCCUUCCUCUCCACCAUUAUAAUCCAUAACCAGCAAAGGUGAGUCCCCAUCAAGCUCUCAUUUUUAUCAACCAGUCAGGGCUCAUCACCGAUGGACAAUCUCGGCAGAGUCAUCAUCUUAACGAUGGUGCUGGUCUCCAUCGUCGCUGCAUCCGUCACGCUGGCUCAAGAGAUCGGAUCGAUAUCUUCUUCUCCUUCACCAACUUACUACUCUUCUAUCAACACUACUUUGGAAGAAAAGAGGGCAGUACCAACUGGUUCGAAUCCUCUCCAUAACAAGUAGACGUGCGGCAUGGCUGGCCAAGGUGAAAGCUCUUCGGAUGAUUCGGUUUUCGAAAGAUGUUUGGCUUUUUUAUCUAUCGUAUGUUUCAAUGUCUGUAAACUUGAUCUUUCUCCACUAAUGCCUACACCCGAUAAGUUGCUAUCUCAAAGGUGAUUUAUUGUUUAAUGAGGCAGUAAUUAAUGCGUGGCCAUAUCACCAUUGUCAUGGAGAUUGCGUGAUACUUAUUAACACAUUCUAGUUUUCUGUUCCAGUACCAAAGAUUGAUGUAUAUCUGAAAUAUAAAUACGUGAUCUUAAUGCUAUUCAAAUGAAGAGCUGUUGUUUAUCA